GUAACAGUUAGAAAUGACUGCUAAUACCGCAUAAGCGCACAGUAUCGCAUGAUACAGUGUGAAAAACUCCGGUGGUACAAGAUGGACCCGCGUCUGAUUAGCUAGUUGGUAAGGUAACGGCUCACCAAGACCGCGAUCGGUAGCCGGACUGAGAGGUUGAACGGCCACAUUGGGACUGAGACACGGCCCAAACUCCUACGGGAGGCAGCCAUG
rnacentral:rRNA from 1 species